rnacentral:rRNA from 1 species
CCCUUAGAUGUCCUGGGCCGCACGCGCGAUACACUGAGUGUCUGAGAUACGAGUCUGCCUGGUCCGGCAAGGUCUAGGUAAUCGCUAAAAGACACAUCAUGCUUGGGAUAGAUUAUUGCAAAUAUUAAUCUUGAACGAGGAAUUCCUAGUAAGCGCAAGUCAACAGCUUGCGUUGAUUACGUCCCUGCCCUUUGUACACACCGCCCGUCGCUACUACUGAUUGGAUGUUUAAGCGAGGUUCUCGAACUGCUAGCGACUUAGCUUCGGUGAGGUCGCAGUGUGGGAAGUGAACCUAGCUUUGGUGUCUAGAGGAAGUAAAAGUCGUAACA